GAUUGUUAUGGCACAGCCAUCACUAACAUCUGGACAAGGCCUUUACAACAUGCUUUAAUUCUUGUUCAGCCCUUACCUGGUUGGACUAGAUGGUCAUCGUAGGUCCUUUCAAAUGAAAUAUUCCAUCCAUUUUAUUCUAUUCUAGCCCAGCACGGACUUCUUUCUACCAAAAGGGUUUUUUGUGAUAGAUAAUACGAACUGCUUGAUGAGUUAUCUGGCUACCAAUUGCUGGGCAGUGUAGGCAAGAAGCAUCUGCCUUACAUCAACAUAAGGGAUGUCACAAAUAUUAAAGUGCUCUCCACCAGCAGCAAAACUUUUCCUUAUUUUUUUUUAAAACACAUUUCAGAUCUUCCACUGUCUGCUUGUUUACAAUGAAGACUCAUUUGGAGUUCUCACUAUUACUCUUCUGUGAACCAGCUCACCCAGAACUGCCAGGGGUUGUCCAAGAGUUAGAUGUACAGGAGCUGCUAAAAUGCUCUGUCAUGUGCUUCUUAUGUAAGUAAGACUCCAUUAAAUAACACGGUUCCACCCUGAGUGCAAGUGGAGGAAUUCAGCAUGAAAAAUGAUGAGAGAAGACAAAAC
rnacentral:lncRNA from 1 species